rnacentral:lncRNA from 1 species
UUGAUUCACAUGAAUUUUUUUAAGAUUCUCGAUAAUUCAAAAGAAAUAAAAGAAUACGACGAUGUUUUGCUAAAUGCACCAUAUAAUUUGAUUGGUAAUACUGAAUUUAUUUGAGAAUAAGAUUCAUCACAAAGGUUAAUUAUAUAUCUCAUUCUUUUGGGAGAGUAUGGAUAUUUUUUAGAGAAAACUUCAAACACCACCCUUAUAGUUUCGCACAUUCUUACUUUAUUAUUCUGUGAUUUAAAAUGUAUCAUUUUCAUAUCCUAUAGUUUUAUUUUUCUCUUUUUGUUAUCCCCUCUACUAAUUUUUUUCGUUAAAUCAGUGACAAAGUUAAAACUAAAGGGUACUAAAGUAAAUAUUCGAUAAACUAUAGGUAGAGUAUCUGAAUUUUUUUUGUAUGUGAUUUAACGAAAAGUUAACGAAAAGGUUGAUGGAAAAAAAAAAAAA